rnacentral:rRNA from 1 species
AGCAGCCGCCGCGGGAAUACGAAGGGUGCAAGCGUUAAUCGGAAUUACUGGGCGUAAAUCGUGCGUAGGCGGUGAGUUAAGUCUGCUGUGAAAGCCCUGGGCUCAACCUGGGAAUUGCAGUGGAUACUGGGUCACUAGAGUGUGGUAGAGGAUAGUGGAAUUUCCGGUGUAGCAGUGAAAUGCGUAGAGAUCGGAAGGAACAUCUGUGGCGAAGGCGACUAUCUGGGCCAACACUGACACUGAGGCACGAAAGCGUGGGGAGCAAACAGGAUUAGAUACCCCCGUAGUCCCUGUCUCUUAUAC